rnacentral:miRNA from 1 species
CUAGGCAAUGGGACAAAAUCA